ensembl:snRNA U6 U6 spliceosomal RNA
GUAGUCACUUUGGCACACAUAUAUUAAAAUUAGAACAUAACAGAAAAUUCGCAUGGCACCUGCUCAAUGAUGGCACGAAAAUUGACAAAGACUUUCAUAUUUUUU